CUUGCAGCUGCCCCCAGCGCUGCCCUACCCCACUGCCCCUCGUGUCCAGACACUGCAAGCUGGGCAGGUGCCUCCAGCCAGGGAGGUCAGCCGUGUCCCCAUGGAGGUCAGCCAUGUUCCCAAGGAGGUCAGCCGUGUCCCCAUGGAGGUCAGCCGUGUCCCCAGGGAGGUCAGCCGUGUCCCCAUGGAGGUUAGUCAUGCCCCCAGGGAGGUCAGCCGUGUCCCCCUGGAGGUGAGCCGUGUCCCCAG